GUUGUUGUAGUAUAGUGGUAAGUAUUUCUGCUCGUCACGCGGGUGGCCCGGGUUCGAUCCCCCGGCAUCGGCG
rnacentral:tRNA from 1 species